AUUGAACGCUGGCGGCAGGCCUAACACAUGCAAGUCGAACGGUAACAGGAAGAAGCUUGCUUCUUUGCUGACGAGUGGCGGACGGGUGAGUAAUGUCUGGGAAACUGCCUGAUGGAGGGGGAUAACUACUGGAAACGGUAGCUAAUACCGCAUAACGUCGCAAGACCAAAAAGGGGGACCUUCGGGCCUCUUGCCAUCGGAUGUGCCCAGAUGGGAUUAGCUAGUAGGUGGGGUAACGGCUCACCUAGGCGACGAUCCCUAGCUGGUCUGAGAGGAUGACCAGCCACACUGGAACUGAGACACGGUCCAGACUCCUACGGGAGGCAGCUGUGGGGAAUAUUGCACAAUGGGCGCAAGCCUGAUGCAGCCAUGCCGCGUGUAUGAAGAAGGCCUUCGGGUUGUAAAGUACUUUCAGCGGGGAGGAAGGGAGUAAAGUUAAUACCUUUGCUCAUUGACGUUACCCGCAGAAGAAGCACCGGCUAACUCCGUG
rnacentral:rRNA from 1 species